rnacentral:ncRNA from 1 species
GUGUUGUUUGAAAGGAGAGAAGGUUAGCACUCCCUUUGAAAGGGAUAGAGGAAGCCCUGGGGCCUGCACAACAUGCAUAUGGUUAAGGCAUUGCCACCUACUUCCCACCUACUUCGUGGCAUCUAACCAUCGUUUUCA